rnacentral:rRNA from 1 species
GUUUGAUCCUGGCUCAGAUUGAACGCUGGCGGCAUGCCUUACACAUGCAAGUCGAACGGCAGCACGGAGCUUGCUCUGGUGGCGAGUGGCGAACGGGUGAGUAAUAUAUCGGAACGUACCCUGGAGUGGGGGAUAACGUAGCGAAAGUUACGCUAAUACCGCAUACGAUCUAAGGAUGAAAGUGGGGGAUUCGCAAGAACCUCAUGCUCCUGGAGCGGCCGAUAUCUGAUUAGCUAGUUGGUAGGGUAAAAGCCUAUCAAGGCAUCGAUCAGUAGCUGGUCUGAGAGGACGACCAGCCACACUGGAACUGAGACACGGUCCAGACUCCUACGGGAGGCAGCAGUGGGGAAUUUUGGACAAUGGGGGCAACCCUGAUCCAGCAAUGCCGCGUGAGUGAAGAAGGCCUUCGGGUUGUAAAGCUCUUUUGUCAGGGAAGAAACGGUGUGAGCUAAUAUCUCAUGCUAAUGACGGUACCUGAAGAAUAAGCACCGGCUAACUACGUGCCAGCAGCCGCGGUAAUACGUAGGGUGCAAGCGUUAAUCGGAAUUACUGGGCGUAAAGCGUGCGCAGGCGGUUUUGUAAGACUGUCGUGAAAUCCCCGGGCUCAACCUGGGAAUGGCGAUGGUGACUGCAAGGCUAGAGUUUGGCAGAGGGGGGUAGAAUUCCACGUGUAGCAGUGAAAUGCGUAGAUAUGUGGAGGAACACCGAUGGCGAAGGCAGCCCCCUGGGUCAAAACUGACGCUCAUGCACGAAAGCGUGGGGAGCAAACAGGAUUAGAUACCCUGGUAGUCCACGCCCUAAACGAUGUCUACUAGUUGUCGGGUUUUAAUUAACUUGGUAACGCAGCUAACGCGUGAAGUAGACCGCCUGGGGAGUACGGUCGCAAGAUUAAAACUCAAAGGAAUUGACGGGGACCCGCACAAGCG